CCUACGGGUGACUGCAGUGAGGAAUAUUGGUCAAUGGGAGAGAUCCUGAACCAGCAAAGCCGCGUGAGGGAAGACGGCCCUAUGGGUUGUAAACCUCUUUUGUCGGAGAAAAAAACACGGGACGUGUCCAGGACUGCGUGUAUCCGAAGAAAAAGAAUCGGCUAACGCUGAGUCAGUAGCCGCGGUAAUAAGGAGGAUGCGAGCGUUAUCCGGAUUUAUUGGGUUUAAAGGGAACGUAGGUGGUUUGACAAGUUGGUAGCGUAACUUCGAGGCUUAACCUCUGCACUACUACCAAAACUGUUGGACUCGAGUGCAGGAGGGGCAAGUGGAAUUCCUAGUGUAGCGGUGGAAUGCGUAGAUAUUAGGAGGAACACCAGUGGCGAAGGCGAUUUUCUGGACUGUAACUGACACUGAGGCACGAAAGCGUGGGGAGCAAACAGGAUUAGAUACCCUUGUAGUC
rnacentral:rRNA from 1 species